rnacentral:rRNA from 1 species
GCAAGUCGAGCGGGACCUUCGGGGUUAGCGGCGGACGGGUGAGUAACACGUAGGCAACCUGCCUGUAAGACUGGGAUAACUACCGGAAACGGUAGCUAAGACCGGAUAAGUGAUUCUCUUGCAUGAGAGGAUCAAGAAACACGGGGCAACCUGUGGCUUACAGAUGGGCCUGCGGCGCAUUAGCUAGUUGGUGGGGUAACGGCUCACCAAGGCGACGAUGCGUAGCCGACCUGAGAGGGUGAUCGGCCACACUGGGACUGAGACACGGCCCAGACUCCUACGGGGGGCAGCAGUAGGGAAUCUUCCGCAAUGGACGCAAGUCUGACGGAGCAACGCCACGUGAGUGAUGAAGGUUUUCGGAUCGUAAAGCUCUGUUGCCAGGGAAGAACGUCGCGGAGAGUAACUGCUCUGCGAAUGACGGUACCUGAGAAGAAAGCCCCGGCUAACUACGUGCCAGCAGCCGCGGUAAUACGUAGGGGGCAAGCGUUGUCCGGAAUUAUUGGGCGUAAAGC